UACGUAGGGGGCAAGCGUUUGUCCGGAAUCAUUGGGCGUAAAGAGCGUGUAGGCGGCCUUAUAAGUCGGCUGUGAAAGUCAAGGGCUCAACCCUUGAAUGCCGGCCGAUACUGUGAGGCUAGAGUCCGGAAGAGGAGAGUGGAAUUCCUGGUGUAGCGGUGAAAUGCGCAGAGUAUCAGGAGGAACACCCGUGGCGAAAGCGGCUCUCUGGGACGGUACUGACGGCUGAGACGCGAAAGCGUGGGGAGCAAACAGG
rnacentral:rRNA from 1 species